rnacentral:rRNA from 1 species
UACGGAGGGUGCAAGCGUUAUCCGGAUUCACUGGGUUUAAAGGGUGCGUAGGUGGGCAGGUAAGUCAGUGGUGAAAUCUCCGGGCUUAACCCGGAAACUGCCAUUGAUACUAUUUGUCUUGAAUACCGUGGAGGUCAGCGGAAUAUGUCAUGUAGCGGUGAAAUGCUUAGAUAUGACAUAGAACACCAAUUGCGAAGGCAGCUGGCUACACGAAUAUUGACACUGAUGCACGAAAGCGUGGGGAGCAAACAGG